GACGACGCUGCGCGAGUGCUAAUACAUGCAAGUCGAGCGGAAUGACGGAGGGCGUUGACGUCUCUGAUUUUAGCGGCGGACGGGUGAGUAACACGUGGGCAACCUGCCCUACAGAUGGGGAUAACUCCGGGAAACCGGGGCUAAUACCGAAUAAUCAGUUUGUCCGCAUGGACAAACUCUGAAAGACGGUUUCGGCUGUCACUGUAGGAUGGGCCCGCGGCGCAUUAGCUAGUUGGUGGGGUAAUGGCCUACCAAGGCAACGAUGCGUAGCCGACCUGAGAGGGUGAUCGGCCACACUGGGACUGAGACACGGCCCAG
rnacentral:rRNA from 1 species